rnacentral:lncRNA from 1 species
ACAAUCAAGAGGGAAAGAGGGGAAGCAGAAAGAGACGGAGACCUGCUAUCUUGGCCAACGAUCCCGUGAAGAGGGAACGGCGGUCUACGCAGGGAAUUCAGCUUCCUAUCAAGCCUAGCAGCUGUCACCCGCAGGUGCUGGGCUUCGUUGCUGUUUCUGGCAGAGUCCUGCUUCUCGCGCCCGCUGCACUGGGUUUGGCGUCUCUGCUGUUCGCUGAGAUCUGCACACUCCAGGAGCCAUAGGGAGGACGCCAGGACAGCCCCGAAGACGAGAAUGCCUCGCUCCUCCUAGGACGGGAGGAAAAUCCCACAAAUCCUGUCUACUCCAAGCAGCCGCGCCCCUCGGGAGACCACCCCAGUUGGAGGGGCCCACUCCAGCCACCGCUACACCGGGACGCGCUCCUCCUCCCCCUGUGCCCGCCCCUUCUCGUGAGGGACCACCAGGAGGCCCCUCGAUUCCCCAGCAAAACACAGGUUUUGG